rnacentral:rRNA from 1 species
CCUACGGGGGGCUGCAGUGGGGAAUUUUGGACAAUGGGCGCAAGCCUGAUCCAGCCAUUCCGCGUGAGUGAAGAAGGCCUUCGGGUUGUAAAGCUCUUUCGCAAGGGAAGAAAACUUAUCCUCUAACAUAGGAUGAGGUUGACGGUACCUUGAUAAGAAGCACCGGCUAACUACGUGCCAGCAGCCGCGGUAAUACGUACGGAGCGAGCGUUAAUCGGGAUUACUGGGGGUAUAUUGUAAGUCAGAUGUGAAAUCCACGAGCUCAACUUGGGAACUGCGUUUGAAACUACAAGACUAGAGUAGGUCAGAGGGGGGUAGAAUUCCACGUGUAGCAGUGAAAUGCGUAGAGAUGUGGAGGAAUAGCAAUGGCGAAGGCAGCCCCCUGGGAUCAUAUUGACGCUCAUGCACGAAAGCGUGGGGAGCAAACAGGAUUAGAUACCCUGGUAGUC